rnacentral:rRNA from 1 species
UCCUACGGGGGGCAGCAGUGAGGAAUAUUGGUCAAUGGGCGGGAGCCUGAACCAGCCAAGUCGCGUGAGGGAAGACGGUCCUAUGGAUUGUAAACCUCUUUAGGCGGGGAGCGAUGCCGGGCACGCGUGCCCGGAGGGAGAGUACCCGCAGAAUAAGCAUCGGCUAACUCCGUGCCAGCAGCCGCGGUAAUACGGAGGAUGCGAGCGUUAUCCGGAUUUAUUGGGUUUAAAGGGUGCGUAGGCGGAUUUUUAAGUCAGCGGUAAAAUGUCCGGGCUCAACCCGGGCCGGCCGUUGAAACUGGGGG